GAACCUUACCAGCUCUUGACAUGCCCGGUAUGGGUUCGAGAGAUCGGAUCCUUCAGUUCGGCUGGCCGGGACACAGGUGCUGCAUGGCUGUCGUCAGCUCGUGUCGUGAGAUGUUGGGUUAAGUCCCGCAACGAGCGCAACCCUCAUCUGCAGUUGCCAGCGGGUGAUGCCGGGCACUCUGCAGAAACUGCCGGUGACAAGCCGGAGGAAGGCGGGGAUGACGUCAAGUCCUCAUGGCCCUCAUGGGCUGGGCUACACACGUGCUACAAUGGCGGUGACAGAGGGCGGCAGAGGGGCGACCCCGCGCCAAUCUCGAAAAGCCGUCUCAGUUCGGAUUGCUCUCUGCAACUCGAGAGCAUGAAGUCGGAAUCGCUAGUAAUCGCGGAUCAGCACGCUGCGGUGAAUACGUUCCCGGGCCUUGUCACACCGA
rnacentral:rRNA from 1 species